rnacentral:rRNA from 1 species
CCUACGGGAGGCAGCAGUAGGGAAUCUUCCGCAAUGGACGAAAGUCUGACGGAGCAACGCCGCGUGAGUGAUGAAGGUUUUCGGAUCGUAAAACUCUGUUAUUAGGGAAGAACAAACGUGUAAGUAACUGUGCACGUCUUGACGGUACCUAAUCAGAAAGCCACGGCUAACUACGUGCCAGCAGCCGCGGU